rnacentral:rRNA from 1 species
CCCUUAGAUGUUCUGGGCCGCACGCGCGCUACACUGACGGAGACAACAAGCCUAUCCUUGGCCGAGAGGUCCGGGUAAUCUUUGAAAUUUCAUCGUGAUGGGGAUAGAUUAUUGCAAUUAUUAAUCUUCAACGAGGAAUUCCUAGUAAGCGCGAGUCAUCAGCUCGCGUUGAUUACGUCCCUGCCCUUUGUACACACCGCCCGUCGCUCCUACCGAUUGAAUGGUCCGGUGAAAUGUUCGGACCGCGACAAGGCGGACGGUUCGCUGUCAGCUUUGCUGCGGGAAGUUCAUUAAACCUUAUCAUUUAGAGGAAGGAGAANUCGUAACA